GCUGAGGGACACCCCCACCCCUGCACGAUUUUGUGCACCAGGCCUCUAGUUGUUGAACAUAGGUGAAGAAUACACAGGUAUUCUGUGUACUUUUGUUUGAAACAUCUUCAAAAUAUACAAUUAUGUAAAAUAGAAUGUGCUACACAGUGUAGUUUCCACAGCUAGGUUUAAUUCCUCCUCUUCCACCAAGAAACUUUAAGACCAGAAGUAAAUCCAUUCAUUCUUUCCUUCCGUUUGCAUGAGUGGGAAAGUACUGCUCCACCUCACAGGUGACUGAUGUCUCUAGGCCACAGAUCCAGAAGAUAAUGGCAGCAAAACCAAACCAUCAUGGACUCAGGUGUUUCCAGAUAGACCACAUUUUUUUACCUUCCCACAAAAUGUUCCUAGAUUGUCUCCUAGAGAAGUUAAAAAAUAGCCAGGAGGCACAGAGCAGCUUCUGCUCAAGAGAGCAAUGGGGAAUAAUUUCUCCACAAUGUCGAACGUAUUCAAAUAACUAUUCUCAACAUGACUGAGAACAGCAGACCUGCUAAGCUAAACAUCAAAAAGUGAAGAAUGGUAAAGCUGCUGUGGAAAAUAUGGCAGUUCU